rnacentral:piRNA from 1 species
UAUCUGCGAGAAUGCGGGGAUUGUGGU